rnacentral:rRNA from 1 species
UUCGGCCAUAGUGGCGCACGGGUGAGUAACGCGUGGGAACCUGCCCAGCAGUGGGGAAUAACUUCGGGAAACCGGGGCUAAUACCGCAUACGCCCUUAGGGGGAAAGAUUUAUCGCUGUUGGAGGGGCCCGCGUCCGAUUAGUUUGUUGGUGGGGUAAUGGCCUACCAAGACUACGAUCGGUAGCUGGUCUGAGAGGAUGAUCAGCCACACUGGGACUGAGACACGGCCCAGACUCCUACGGGAGGCAGCAGUGGGGAAUAUUGGACAAUGGGCGCAAGCCUGAUCCAGCAAUGCCGCGUGAGUGAUGAAGGCCUUAGGGUUGUAAAGCUCUUUCGGCGGGGACGAUGAUAACGGUACCCGCAGAAGAAGCCCCGGCUAACUUCGUGCCAGCAGCCGCGGUAAUACGAAGGGGGCUAGCGUUGUUCGGAAUUACUGGGCGUAAAGAGCACGUAGGCGGUUCGUUAAA